UAGUCCACGCCGUAAACGAUGGACACUUGGUGUUGGAGGUAUUGACCCCUUCAGUGCCGUAGCUAACGCGUUAAGUGUCCCGCCUGGGGAGUACGGUCGCAAGAUUAAAACUCAAAGAAAUUGACGGGGGCCCGCACAAGCGGUGGAGUAUGUGGUUUAAUUCGAUGCAACGCGAAGAACCUUACCUGCCCUUGACAUUGACAGAACCCUUUAGAGAUAGAGGGGUGCUUCGGCCUGGAAAACAGGUGCUGCAUGGCUGUCGUCAGCUCGUGUCGUGAGAUGUUGGGUUAAGUCCCGCAACGAGCGCAACCCUUAUCCUUAGUUGCCAGCACGUAAUGGUGGGAACUCUAAGGAGACCGCCGGUGGCAAACCGGAGGAAGGUGGGACGACGUCAAGUCAUCAUGGCCCUUAUGGGCAGGGCUACACACGUGCUACAAUGGCCGGUACAGAGGGUUGCCAACCCGCGAGGGGGAGCGUAAUCCCAGAAAGCCGGUCGUAGUCCGGAUUGGAGUCUGCAACUCGACUCCA
rnacentral:rRNA from 1 species